UACAACCUACCUACGUCCAUCGAUCGCUAAACGCAAGCAUCCUUCGUCGUUUGCCCUCUCGCGUGCGCUGACAGGUGGCCAAACCAGCAGGAAACCUCCUCAUCGUACCCCAAUCCCUAGAUCCGAUCUCACGAUACCAGGAGCAGGCGGAGGCCGCCGCCGUUGUGCUCCUCCUGCCGCUCACCCCGACCACCACUGCGAUGCAAUCUGGAGCGCGCCGUCCACGCCGCCGAACCGGCUAUCCUGUACCUCUCUGUCCACGUCAUUCACGCUUGGCUUCCCACCAUUGAUCGACUUCGCCUUUCCCGUCCAGAUGCAGCGACCGCCCGCCCGCGUGCCCUGGACCUUCCGCCGGCUCCCGGAUCCAUCUGCCUCUUGCAGCCGUCGCCAGCCCCCUUCUACCUCGAGAUUUUAAUUAAAUACUACUAAAGAUAGGUCUAGGCCAAACGCGGUAGCAGAGUCCGUUUCUGGUGAGAAACGGGGUGGAGACGAUGCGGGAGAGGGCAAGAGAUAGAGCGAGAGUGGAGUCGUCGGAGCUGCCGAUGUGGGGUAAAAUGGACAUCACCAGCGGGGAUUUCUCGAGGCUGCACCACCGAAUCAAAAUCCUAGGCGCCGUGAAUGUGGCCAGGUUUGAUUGGCUAACUAAGGAGUGCUAGGCAGGUGGGGAAGAUGCAUGUGUCGCGACGGUGCAUCGGAAAUUGGCGAAGGCUCGUCUCGGCAAACAAGAAGCUAUGGAUACAUGCGCGUCUAGCUGCAAGCCGUCUUCGUUGUUGUUCAUGGAGUCCAACAGUAUUCUACACACGAAUGACAUCCAUUGAGGAGAUCGCUUAAAUAGCAUCAGAUGCCACACAAGCCUGAUGGUUAAUGUUUCCGCUCCGUUGACGACCCCCACCGACGCCUCCAAUGACAUAAGAUUUGUUCUCCCUGGUCAAUACCUGUAUCCUCCUUUGGUGCAAAAUCAGACUGAUUCUCUAUGGACAAGAAUCUGGGAAAAAAAGGAUCCCCCCCCUACUGAAUUAUGUAUGUUAAGAUCAACACGGAAAAUUUCUAUUUCUAUAUAUAUCUUUAGUCUAUGCAUUUGCAGCGAUAGCCUUCAAAUUUACAAUCAUGUUGCUGAUUUAUUUCGGAAAAUGGCAGGUCUCAUAUCAACUCUCCUGCUGAUAUUCUUUUUGGUCUAAGAUUAUAUAUAGGUUCAGAUUAUAUCAUUCUGCAGUGAUGUUGCCGAAUGCUCCAGCUUUUAUGAUUGUCUUUCCAUAAUUUAGCAGCAUCUGCUAUUAACCGGUGUGACUUAUUCCUUUCCAAGAAGUUAUGACUUAUUCCAUUCAACAUUACCUUUAUCUAUAAUUUCUAUUCCAUAAAUCAUAAACAAAAGAAUCUAUGAUGUGUACUGGCAAGAGGGAGGAACUAAUGAAAAAAAUUAGUUUCCGGAAAGCAGUUUAUGAGGGACCUGUAGUUCAGUUUUACGGCGUUGAUGGCAACUUCUCUAUACCUAAAUACUGAAUGUUUAACUACUUUUUUGCGCCUCCUGUUGUCUUUCGCCGUUUGCAUCACUUACUCCAGAUUGUUGUGGUGUUGAUGGGGUGUGUGUUGUGGGUAAAAUUCAACAAUGUUGUUCCUAGGCUAGAAUGUUAAACAACAAGGUGUAUUCUCUUAAGAACAAAGCUAUUGAGGGUUAUCUUUGAGAUUAAGCAUUAGAUACUUGGUGUGUCUCUAAUUCAUAAGUAAUUUAAAUAAUUCCACUUGCAGCCAUGUUCGGAUUGGUUACCUCUUUCGAGUUGUUCUUGCUUCUUGCUUUAUUAUAUAUGUCAAAUGCAAAAGAUUGAUAAUUUCCUCUGUUUUUUAAGCCCGAUUUAAGGUGUUGUUAUACCAUACAGAGGUAAUGGACUAUUACAGUGUAGUUCCCAUCAGACUGAUUUGUUUAUUACUAAUUCAUAUGUCUAUUUGACUUUUAAUCCCCGAAUCCGUGCAUACCGCAAAUGGGUUGGUGUUUCGAGUAGUUCUAUCUUGGUGUGAGAAACACAGAGAGAUUCUUAAUCUGAAUAUAGUUGGUCUUUCGAUUUGUUUUUCUAUGCUUAAGCCUGGCCCUUUUAUUCUAUAGCCGAGGAGGUCCUUUUGAUUGUAAUGGUCCAAGGUAGCUCCAUUUAGUCUUGCUUGGGCAGCAAAUGCCUAACUCAUACUUGGGUAUUGUACUAUUGCUCUUCUGCAUCCUCUUUUUAUUAUUUGCAUUUGACACUAAAGCGAAAAGUAAUAGCUAUUUCCUUAGGUUAGGGAAGAAAAUUGUUGGGUAAAUGAUAAUGGAGCCAAUAAACUAAUGUAUUUGUUCUUUAUUUUG